AGCAGCCGCGGUAAUUCCAGCUCCAAUAGCGUAUAUUAAAGUUGUUGCAGUUAAAAAGCUCGUAGUUGAAUUUCGGGAUCAAUACGUCGGUCGUGCCUCGGUACGUACUGGCGUCAUUGAUUUCUCCCUUCUGAAGAACCGUGAUGCCAUUAACUUGGUGUCAUGGGAAAUCAGGACUGUUACUUUGAAAAAUUAGAGUGUUUAAAGCAGGCUCACGCUUGAAUACAUUAGCAUGGAAUAAUGAAAUAAGACGUUCGACCCUAUUUUGUUGGUUUCUAGGAUCAACGUAAUGAUUAAUAGGGAUAGUUGGGGCAUUAGUAUUCAAUUGUCAGAGGUGAAAUUCUUGGAUUUAUUGAAGACUAACUACUGCGAAAGCAUUUGCCAAGGAUGUUUUCAUUAAUCAAGACGAAAGUUAGGGGAUCGAAGACGAUCAGAUACCGUCGUAGUCUUAACCAUAAACUA
rnacentral:rRNA from 1 species